UUAAUAGCAAUUCAACGCAGGUAAAAUUCUCUCUUUUUAUUAUUAUUUUCAUUUCCAACUUUUGCCCCUCGCCUUUCUGAAACCAUGCUCCCUACUCCCUUGCUUACUUGCUUUCUUCUUUUGCUUUUGCCUUUCAUUAGAAUCACGUCAUAUGGUGGGUUUCAAAUUUACUGCAACUGAAAGCUAAACCAAGGUUUGUAACUCUCUUUUGUUCUCAUACUGCGUUGAUGUUUACUAAAAUUAUCGUUGAUUUUUUUUCCCUUCUAGUUUUUGAAACUCUCUUUUGCUGAUUUUUUUCCAAUGUUUUCUUCUAGUUUUUUUCUGCUUUAGAUUUGAUUUUGAGUGGUUAUUUUCGUUCUUUACCAUGUUAGUUUGGUCGUUUUACUUUGAUGGGUUUUUGUUAUUAAUUUUUAUUGAUUUAUGUAUUUAUUAUAGCUUAAAGUUCCGAGGAGAGUUCUAUUUCUUGUUCAUAUUAGAAUUUUUAAAGCUUUCUGUGGUUGCAACUUUCUUGGUUUAGUGGUCUACAACUUUCUGUAUUUUCCUUCUUGAUUUUUAUUUUUUUUUGGUUUAUUGGUCUGCGAUAAAAGGGGGAAUUGGGUCAACAACAAUGAGGUUAAUUUAGUGGUUGCUUUUUGUUUAGUUGUAGUUAUACUUUUAAGUUUUAUUUGUAAAUUCAUCUACAACAUUUAGAUUUAACCUUAAAAUUCUAGAAUUAUUCAUCCUGUCGAGUAAUAAGAAAAAAGAGUUGAAAAAAAAUAUGAUAGUUGUAAAAUGGGGUUAAGGAGUAUCUUUUCUUGCCUGAAAAAUGAUUAACACGACCGGAUGGUGAGAACAUGAAAUUUUGAUGUCACAAAGGAUAGAAAGCUCAUAAGCUUUCUUGAUUAGUCCAUUUCUACGUUUCCAUAUAUAGCAUAUAAAGUUGACUGGUUCAUUUCCUCAGGAUCAUUUUGAUCCUUUGCCAACACUUGCCUGAUUAAAAAAAAUAAGGUAAUAAAAGACAAAAAGGACGAUGGAUAAUAUUCUAUGCUUGCAAAAUGGUUUAUGGUGUGUGCAUUUUAGUCAGCAUAAAUGAAAAUAAAAUGCAUUGAUUUGUGAGGAAGAGAUGCUAAUAGCACAUUACCUGUUUCCUUACGCCGCUUUACUCAAUCCCAAAAUUUCCAUUUCAUUUUUUCAUUCGCACAAGUAUUUGACACUCCCUUUUUUGCACAUUUUUGUUUGCUUUAACAUUAAGCACUUGUUUUUCAUCACAAAAACCCAUCCUUUAUAACUAUUACAUCCAAUUGCUUCUUUAAUGCUUUUGGGAAGCUCAAAACUCUACUUUUGGACCUAAUAAUCAUAGUGGCCAAAACUUGAGCAUACUCCCACUAUACUCUAUUACAUCAUUCUUGAUAUUUUUAAUUUGAAGUUUAACACGACCCAUGACAGAUGGGAAAAGAGAAGAAAUGAACAGUAUGUUUAGUUUUGGUAUAGGGAAUUGUAGGAUACUUUGAUUAAUAUUUUGUAAGAAUAUCAAUAGAUGUAGUGGUAAGAUACUUUGAUGUUUAUAAUGAAGAAUUACUUUGAUUCUUCUACGUUUUUAGGAAUUACUUUGAUUUUUGUAAUGAGGAAUUACUUGUUUAAUUGUAAAACGCUACUUUGAUAUUUAGUUGCUGCUUUAAAGUAUUUUAAGUAAUUCUAAAGUAUACAUUAGUAUUUUUUUUUUGAUUGCUUGGCGGUUGACUGAUGAACAAUUCUAAGAUUUUAAGGUUAAAUCUAAAUAUAGUAGAUAAAAUUGGAAUGAUGAAACUUCAAAAUGUUGUUAAGCUUUUCGUCUCUUCUUUUUCUUCUUUUUUGUUUUAAAUGUUGUAGAUUAAGAACAAUUUUGAGACUAUCUUGGAGCUAGAUUCUACAAUACUCUGUUUGCUUAAUUUUUGGUGAGUUUUUAGGGGGCUUUGUUUCUACUUUUUAAAAAUUUUUUAGCAUAUUUAUUGCAGAAGCAGGGAAAAAGAUUUAUGUGAAAAUAUGGUUGGUGAAAAGAAAUGUGAUUCUUUAAUUUUCAUGAACAUGUUUGGCCUUCUUUUUUUUUCCAGGUAGUUUCUUGGCAAUGGUAGCCACUGAUUUAGCAGUAGACUUGAAGAUUUGGUCUUUGCCGAGUCUUUUUCUGCGCAAUGAGUGGUUUAGAUUCAACUUGAUUGAUAUUUGGACUACUUACAACAUAUUUCAUUCACUGCAGUUUUUAAUAACUAAAUUAUUUUUUUUCGAGAUUUACGGUUUUCCUUCUCAACAAUGCUAUCUUUAAAGUUUGAACUCGAGUUUCUCCUUAGAAGUAUAAUGCACAUUACAAUUGCAACCAACUCUUAUUAAUAAAUUCAAUUCAAUCCCCCUUUU
rnacentral:lncRNA from 1 species